rnacentral:rRNA from 1 species
CCCUAUGGGGCGCAGCAGGCGGUGGAGCGGGGCGAAGGUGGGCAUGGGGAAGUCCUUGGAAAGCGGAAAGGGGGGAGAUGGCAGAUCGGGACAAUGUCUAGGUUAUUGGCAGGGUGCAACUGGGGAUCAAGGUGAGCCACUGUCUACUUGUUGACAGUGUUUGAGAGAUCGUUUUGUGAUCGCACUUCUGACAAGUAGCCGUGGACGUCUGGCUUUUGUGAGGUACGUGCCAAAACCUCGACAUGAUAUGUAGGCAUCAGUCUUCCGCGGUCGGGAGUUGGCGUGUAUUCGAAGGAAACGACGGCGCGGCCGGAGGAGUCCCGGCAGGAGGACUUGAAACGGCCGCUGGCGUGGGUGCCGGUGGGCUUGACGGCAAUCGUGCGCCAGUCCGGAUUGCGGCGGAGGUGGUCGAUCAUGGCGGGAGGGC